rnacentral:tRNA from 1 species
UUAUUUCUAGUUUAUUUAAGAAUGUCGGCUUGUCGUGUCGGAGGAGUAUUUUUUUACGAAGUAAG